rnacentral:misc_RNA from 1 species
UUUAUAUAUUGCUUGUUUUCUCUGACUAUACAUAAUGUAGAGUGUGAAACUCCGGCGGGCACACAUCGAUUUCCAUCGAUGGCCAUUUAGCGUCUCGCCGAAGCAACCAAUUGUAAUCAAGGGUGGGAGUUCCUGCAAGCAGGAGAACUCGGUAAUGAUCCUUCCGCAGGUUCACCUACGGAAA